GCCUCGGUGGCUCAGUGGUAAAGCGUCGCACUCGUAUUCCUUCGGAUUGCGCGAUGCGAAGAUCCCCUGUUCGAUCCAGGGUCGAGGCA